ensembl:lncRNA
GGUGUAUUGUCUGCUGCUUUGUCUGUUUCCAGCACGGGUUAAUCGGAAUUAACAGCUGGCGGUUGCUGCGCAUGCGCGGAUCCGCCAUACAGAGGAAAUAGCCGGGGAGUAGGUAGCUGCCUGAGAACGAGAGAGCGAAUACCACGGAUACAGCUGGUUUCUCUUCAAACAAUUAUGACCGUCUUUCCGUUGUCGCUUUCUCUCAGGUAUCUGUCUCCCGGUCGCUGAAUGGCGCUGGUUACCGUGCAGCGCUCGCCGACCCCCAGCACCAGUUCCAGCCCCUGUGUUUCGAAGCCUGUCAGGCAAUCAGGAAGCAGGAGUUCAUGCUGCACAUUGCUAAAUAGUGCUCUGGCUUCCUGCAUGGUCCAAGGGUCACUUGCAUAAUAGUGAGUGCUAGUAGUUGUAGGCUGCCUGAAGAACCAGAUAAGUAUUCACUCAACAUACAAUGUGUCUGUCUUGG